rnacentral:rRNA from 1 species
GCAUAUCAAUAAGCGGAGGAAAAGAAACCAACAGGGAUUGCCCUAGUAACGGCGAGUGAAGCGGCAACAGCUCAAAUUUGAAAUCUGGCGUCUUUGGCGUCCGAGUUGUAAUUUGCAGAGGGCGCUUUGGCAUUGGCAGCGGUCCAAGUUCCUUGGAACAGGACGUCACAGAGGGUGAGAAUCCCGUACGUGGUCGCUAGCCUUUACCGUGUAAAGCCCCUUCGACGAGUCGAGUUGUUUGGGAAUGCAGCUCUAAAUGGGAGGUAAAUUUCUUCUAAAGCUAAAUACUGGCCAGAGACCGAUAGCGCACAAGUAGAGUGAUCGAAAGAUGAAAAGCACUUUGGAAAGAGAGUUAAAAAGCACGUGAAAUUGUUGAAAGGGAAGCGCUUGCAGCCAGACUUGCCUGUAGUUGCUCAUCCGGGUUUUUACCCGGUGCACUCUUCUAUAGGCAGGCCAGCAUCAGUUUGGGCGGUUGGAUAAAGGUCUCUGUCACGUACCUCCUCUCGGGGAGAACUUAUAGGGGAGACGUAAUGCAACCAGCCUGGACUGAGGUCCGCGCAUCUGCU